rnacentral:lncRNA from 12 species
CCCCCCCCCCCCCCCCCCCCCCUGUGGGCGGGGUUUAGUGCCCAGGUGAGGCUGUGGGCGUGACUUCUGUGCUAUGGGCGGGGUUAAGCGCCCAGGUGAGGCUGUGGGUGUGGUUUAGUGCGCAGGUGAGACUGUGGNUGACAGCGAGGACACGGAGGGGGUGACACCCCCGGCUGCUGAGGUGGCAGCAGCGAGGACAAGGACACGCUGCGGUGGCAGCAGGGACAGUGAGGGACACGGACACGGACACGGACACGGAGGGGACCCUGUGGCACCGGCGAGGGGGAGGAGGAGGAGGAGGAAGGUGUCGCCUGGGUGACACCGCAGGGACGGCGAGCACAAGGACAGUGACAGCACCGGGACUCCGGUGACACCGGCGAGGACGGGAACCGGCCCUGGCGGCAGCUGCGGUGACAGCGAGGACAAGGAGUUGUGGCACUCGCGGGGACUUUGGGGACACCGAGGACAGGACGGGUCCCUGCGGCAGCGAGUGACAGCGAGGACGAGGAUCCCUGUGGCCUGGCGGUGACACCAGGGAGGAAAAGGACAGCUGGUGGCACCUGAGGUGACACUCGGGGUGACAAGGAUUGGGACAGGUCCCCGCUGAGGACACGUUUCGUCCCCAAAGUGCCACCACGGCCACGAUGUGUGACACCCAAGGUGACCCCACCGCCGCGGAGGCCACGCCCGGUCCCCGAGGGUGGCACUGUGACCCCAAAACCCCCGAGGACACCACGGCGUCCCCUCCCCCGCCCCGGGGGUGGCACCGCCGGGUG